rnacentral:rRNA from 1 species
AUUGAACGCUGGCGGCAUGCCUUACACAUGCAAGUCGAACGGCAGCAUAGGAGCUUGCUCCUGAUGGCGAGUGGCGAACGGGUGAGUAAUAUAUCGGAACGUGCCCUAGAGUGGGGGAUAACUAGUCGAAAGACUAGCUAAUACCGCAUACGAUCUACGGACGAUAGUGGGGGGUCGCAAGACCCCAUGCUCCUGGAGCGGCCGAUAUCUGAUUAGCUAGUUGGUGGGGUAAAAGCCUACCAAGGCAACGAUCAGUAGCUGGUCUGAGAGGACGACCAGCCACACUGGGACUGAGACACGGCCCAGACUCCUACGGGAGGCAGCAGUGGGGAAUUUUGGACAAUGGGGGCAACCCUGAUCCAGCAAUGCCGCGUGAGUGAAGAAGGCCUUCGGGUUGUAAAGCUCUUUUGUCAGGGAAGAAACGGUGGUAGCGAAUAACUACUACUAAUGACGGUACCUGAAGAAUAAGCACCGGCUAACUACGUGCCAGCAGCCGCCGUAA